AUCCUGGUCAGGAUGAACGCUAGCGACAGGCUUAACACAUGCAAGUCGAGGGGCAGCGAGGGAGUGGCAACACUUCCGUCGGCGACCGGCGCACGGGUGAGUAACGCGUAUGCAACCUGCCCUUCACAGGGGGAUAACCGGGAGAAAUUCCGACUAAUACCGCAUACGUCCUCCGGGGGCAUCCCCGGGGGAUGAAAGAAUUAUCGGUGAAGGAUGGGCAUGCGUGAUAUUAGGUAGUUGGCGGGGCAACGGCCC
rnacentral:rRNA from 1 species